rnacentral:rRNA from 1 species
GUGCCAGCAGCCGCGGUAAUACAGAGGGUGCAAGCGUUAAUCGGAAUUACUGGGCGUAAAGCGCGCGUAGGUGGUUUGUUAAGUUGGAUGUGAAAUCCCCGGGCUCAACCUGGGAACUGCAUUCAAAACUGACUGACUAGAGUAUGGUAGAGGGUGGUGGAAUUUCCUGUGUAGCGGUGAAAUGCGUAGAUAUAGGAAGAAACUCCGGUGGCUAAGGCGGCCUCCUGGACUAAUACUGUCUCUGGGGUGCGCGGGCGUGGGGGGCCCCCAAAAUUAGAUACCCUGGUAGUCC